rnacentral:rRNA from 1 species
GAUGAACGCUGGCGGCGUGCCUAAUACAUGCAAGUCGAGCGAACAGACGAGGAGCUUGCUCCUCUGACGUUAGCGGCGGACGGGUGAGUAACACGUGGAUAACCUACCUAUAAGACUGGGAUAACUUCGGGAAACCGGAGCUAAUACCGGAUCAUAUAUUGAACCGCAUGGUUCAAUAGUGAAAGACGGUUUUGCUGUCACUUAUAGAUGGAUCCGCGCCGCAUUAGCUAGUUGGUAAGGUAACGGCUUACCAAGGCAACGAUGCGUAGCCGACCUGAGAGGGUGAUCGGCCACACUGGAACUGAGACACGGUCCAGACUCCUACGGGAGGCAGCAGUAGGGAAUCUUGCGCAAAGGGCGAAAGCCUGACGGAGCAACGCCGCGUGAGUGAUGAAGGUCUUCGGAUCGUAAAACUCUGUUAUUAGGGAAGAACAAAUGUGUAAGUAACUAUGCACGUCUUGACGGUACCUAAUCAGAAAGCCACGGCUAACUACGUG